rnacentral:rRNA from 1 species
GUCUAUGGCCAUGCCACCCUGAACAAGCCCGAUGUCCGAUCUCAGAGGCUAAGCAGGACCGGGCCUGGUUAGUACUUGGAUGGGAGACCACCUAGGAAGACCAGGUGCUAUAGGAA